CCCAUUAUUACUUGUAUUAAUGCUAUUUUACCUUGGAGCAUAUUCAUGCAAGUCACUAAAGCCCUGGACUAAACAGCAGUCACACCUAGAUGCUAGAUUCUUUUUUUGUUUGUUUGUAUGUUUUUUAUUGUUGCUGGAGGCGGAGGUACACUAUGGGUGGGGAGAUCAAAGGGCAACUUUUUAAAAUGUGUUCUGCCUACAUCUAUGUCUGUGUACCUCAUGCACACCUGAUGCUGGUGGAGGCCAGAGGGGUCACUGGAUCCCCUGGGACUGGAGUAAUAGAUGGUUGGGAACUAUAUUGGCUGGUGGGAACUGAACCUUGAAUAAUCUGAAGAACAUCCAGUGGUAUCAGCUAGGCCAUCUCUCUUGCUUCCCUUCUUCUUUAAAUUUUUUUACUUUUAUAGGGGAGGAGGUGUAUGCUGGUUCCCGUGGAGCCCAUCAGAGGGCAUCGAUGUCCUGGGCCGGGAGCUGCAGGUAGUUGUGUGCUACCAAAUUCUGGUCCUGUGGAAGAGCAAGAAGUUCUUAACCACUGAGCAAUCUCUCCAGACCUGGAUUCUUACCUUUCUCUUUUUAUGACCUUGGGUAAAUUCCUUGCAUUGGGCCUUAGUGUCUCUAUCAGUAUAGCCUGGUUCUUGGCCCGGUGUAGUGGCACGCCUUAAAUUCCACCGCAUCUCUGAGAUCCAGUCUUUUCUAGAAGGUCAGUUCCAGGUCAGCCCGGACUGCAUAUUGAGACCCUUGUCUGAAACAAACCAAAUGGGCGUUGCUCUGGCAGGUGAUGCGCAACCUAGGUAAGGACAAUCUCUAGGACUCUUAAGGAUCCAAAGACCCACAAGAGUCCGCCACAGGAUGUCCCCAAGAACAGCCUAACCUAACCUUCACAACGAAAGGCUGGAAUUCUGAUCAUUGUUUUGACCCCCACCCCAUUCCUCUCACUUUGUGUUUGUUGAACUCCACACAGGCCCACGUAAUUCCUUCCCAGCAGGCGCCCUCCCCAUUCAGACCGCUACCUGCCCACCGUCUCUAACCAAUUGGGUGCUCGGGUCGAGUUUACGUGUGUGUAUAUAACCUAAGGACCACCCCCACUCAGGUUUUGAUGCGACCUUCACAGACUCCAAGAUCUUCUAACUGCCAGGUCCAACCCAGCGAAAAGCCCAAACACGAGCGGUCCAGAGGACUGACUACCAGGUCCCGCCCCCGGGCUCCGAUUUGGGCUCGGACUAAGGCUCCCGGAGGUGGGAUCGGGAUUUCGUUCCAAACGCUUAGCGAUCG
ensembl:lncRNA